rnacentral:rRNA from 1 species
AGUGAACGCUGGCGGUAGGCCUAACACAUGCAAGUCGAACGGCAGCACAGUAAGAGCUUGCUCUUACGGGUGGCGAGUGGCGGACGGGUGAGGAAUACAUCGGAAUCUACUUUUUCGUGGGGGAUAACGUAGGGAAACUUACGCUAAUACCGCAUACGACCUACGGGUGAAAGCAGGGGAUCUUCGGACCUUGCGCGAUUGAAUGAGCCGAUGUCGGAUUAGCUAGUUGGCGGGGUAAAGGCCCACCAAGGCGACGAUCCGUAGCUGAUCUGAGAGGAUGAUCAGACACACUGGAACUGAGACACGGUCCAGACUCCUACGGGAGGCAGCAGUGGGGAAUAUUGGACAAUGGGCGCAAGCCUGAUCCAGCCAUACCGCGUGGGUGAAGAAGGCCUUCGGGUUGUAAAGCCCUUUUGUUGGGAAAGAAAAGCGGCAGGUUAAUACCCCGCUGUUCUGACGGUACCCAAAGAAUAAGCACCGGCUAACUUCGUG